ensembl:lncRNA
UUCCUGCGCCCAGAGGGCUGUGCUCAGCCCCAACUCGGCCUGCGCGCCCACGCCAGCCCCCAAUGGCCAUUCAGGAGCGCUUCAUCCCCGAAUGGUUCAGCCUUUUGGUGACCUCAUAGCCAUUUACUUCUAAUUGUAUUGGGUUCUAAUAUCGUAGCCUCAUCUCAAUUUUUCAAAGUGUGUCAGGUGUUUGCGUGGUCACGUGAAACGAUUGGUGUUUACAAGUGCUCCACGGGCACAAACUAAGAAAACGCCCCACUGUGAGGCUCCACAGUUGAAACGCUGGUUUGAAACAUGGUCCUGAGACUCUGGCUCUCCUCCUGCUGUGUCUGGGCUCUGUGGAUGCCAGACCGAAGCAGAGGGUGAAGUGACGGCCCCCAGGCCCGCCACCUCCCAGCACUUGGAUCUAAGUUCUCAGAAAGCCAAGCAGCCGGGGAGGCCGGGGAAGAAGGCCUCCCCGCGCGCCCACCAUCCGGAAGUGGCUCCAGGCAGAACAGAGGUGGGCUGUCCCGGGGACCCUGCCCACACUGCGCCUGUGAGACCUGCAGGUUGGUGGUUUGAAGGCGCCGGGUUUGGGGUGCUGGCUUCACGGCUGUAGGUGCCAGGCACAGUGAUCCGGGCUUCCUGUCGGAGUCCAGAACGACCCACACGACAACCUCUAACCGUCAACGCUGUGACUUGUAUCUCCCGGGCUGGAGUCGCCCGUCCUGAGCGAGAUGUCCUGAAGUGUCCCAUGAGUGUUGUGGUCACCUGGUUUCCGCAGCUUCUGCCGUCCAUGUGUUGUUCUGCUCUCGGAGGCAUGAGAGUUUACAGCCGUGUCUUCUGGAAACGGUGCCUCUUCCGGGCCAGGAGCGGCGCUGACCCCACUGCUCUCCACCCUGCAUCUGUUUUUUCCUUUUGUGUCCACUUGCUAGGCAUCCCUUGGCCUUCCUUCAUUUUUCAACUGUCAUGACCAGUUUGUUUGACUGAAUUCCUUUGAACAAUGUGUUUGUUAAAAAUAAAACCUCUGGGGCUUCCCUGGUGGUCCAGUGGUUAAGAAUGUGCCCUGCAAUGCAGGGGACACCGUUUGGUCCCUGGUCCAGGAAGAUCCCACAUGCCAGGGACAACGAAGCCCGUGCACCACAGCUACAGAGCGUGAGCGUGAGCGCCUGCUCAUGAGCCACAACUGCUGUGGCCCGGGAGCCUGGAGCCAGCGCCUGCAGCGGAGAAGCCGCUGCAACUAGGAGCCGGAGCAGCGCAGCUAGAGAGCGGCGCCCACUACCGCAACUAGAGAAAGCCCGAGUCCAGCAGCCGAGAUCCACUGCAGCAAAAAGUAAAUCUUUGGAAAAUAAAUAGAAAUAAAACCCUUCUGGCAGUCUCUGCCUUUAAACAGAGGGAUUCAAGCGAUUCACAUUUAGUAUAAAAUUGGACGUCUCUGGCUUCUUCCGCCUUACUCUCCAUUUGCUAUCUCGCUUUGUUGUCUCUUUCAUCCGCUUUGUAGUUGCCAAGUUGAUCAGCACGUUACUCAUCCCCUUUUAUUCACGGAGUUGGGAGUGUCACUGAGCCCCUGCAUCCCACCACUGUGAUCCUUUGGUUCUUGAACCCACAGCCACACCUGCUCUGGCCCAGAAGCAGCUCCCACCACACAGCGCCCCUUCGCUUUCUCCCCAGCGCUGCUGGAGCGCAGCGGCUGUGCGGGUGGAUGCACCAUCCAGCAUCCCUGAAACCCAGCACCGUUUGCAAGAAGGCUAACUUCCUCGCAGUCAACUAGCAUUCUGCAGUCGGACACAGACGGCGGGCCGGGUGGGAGCAGGUACGGGCGGGUCUCUGGGCAGGAUGGACGACAGUGC